rnacentral:rRNA from 1 species
AUGUCCAUCCAGAAAAAGUACUGCUCAGAGUUACUGAAAGAGUUAGAUGAUGUUGAUUCUGACACUACUAGCGAGGCUGCUGAUUCUGAAGAGGAGAUGGGCACUUUGGAUGCUUCUGUGGUCGAUGGCCUGAAACUUAUGGCCCUGGUGGAAAAACUGCCCCUUCCCAAUGAGCAACCUGCUAACAAAAACAAGUGGGGCCCAGUGAUUGCUACAAGGCCAAGUACCAGAACUCACAACAGACAAAAUAUCAUGGAGAAGGUUGCUGCCUACAAAAUGAAAAAGAACCUGGAGGUCCCCAACACUUUCAAAAGUAAGUCUUUUACUUCUGAAUCUACAUCUAGUUUAGGAGCUUAUGCUUCUGUUGUGAACAUAAAAAUUGGGGAUACUGAUAGUGAAAAAGAUCAGAUCAUUGAUGACUUGAUUAGAGGUGAAACUGAAAGGUGUUUAGUUUUUGCUUCUAAAAACCCUGAGAUAUCUUUGCCUGACAAUUUAGACACUGACAUCUAUGGGGAAAAUGAAGUUUGUACUCCUGUCAGUAGCAUUCCAGACAAAAACACGUUAGGGGGCACUGCUGAUGCUGUUUUUGACUCUGGGAAUGCAGUAAGAGGUGGACUUUUUAGUCUGACACACCCCUUUAAAAUACCAUGA